rnacentral:rRNA from 1 species
UACGGGGGGGGCAAGCGUUGUUCGGAAUUACUGGGCGUAAAGGGUUUGUAGGUGGCUUGCUAAGUCAGACGUGAAAUCCCUCAGCUUAACUGGGGAACUGCGUCUGAUACUGGAUGGCUUGAGUAUGGGAGAGGGAUGCGGAAUUCCAGGUGUAGCGGUGAAAUGCGUAGAUAUCUGGAGGAACACCGGUGGCGAAGGCGGCAUCCUGGACCAUUACUGACGCUGAGGAGCGAAAGCCAGGGGAGCAAACGGG